rnacentral:rRNA from 1 species
GCACUUCGGUGCAAUGUACGAGUGGCGAACGGGUGAGUAACACGUGAGAAACCUGCCUCGGAGACCGGGACAACCAUUGGAAACGAUGGCUAAUACCGGAUGUCCUUUUACGGUCGCAUGACUGUUUGAGGAAAUGAUCCGUCGCUCCGGGAGGGUCUCGCGUCCUAUCAGCUUGUUGGUGAGGUAAUGGCUCACCAAGGCAUCGACGGGUAGCUGGUCUGAGAGGACGAUCAGCCACACUGGGACUGAGACACGGCCCAGACUCCUACGGGAGGCAGCAGUAGGGAAUCUUGCACAAUGGGCGAAAGCCUGAUGCAGCGACGCCGCGUGGGGGAUGAAGGCCUUCGGGUUGUAAACCCCUUUCAGUAGGGACGAAAAUGACGGUACCUACAGAAGAAGCUCCGGCCAACUACGUGCCAGCAGCCGCGGUAACACGUAGGGAGCAAGCGUUGUCCGGAUUUAUUGGGCGUAAAGAGCUCGUAGGUGGUUCGGUAAGUCGGAUGUGAAAACUCAAGGCUCAACCUUGAGACGCCAUCCGAUACUGCUGUGACUUGAGUUCGGU